rnacentral:rRNA from 1 species
UACGGAGGGUGCAAGCGUUAUCCGGAUUCACUGGGUUUAAAGGGUGCGUAGGCGGGUAAGUAAGUCCGUGGUGAAAUCUCUGAGCUUAACUCGGAAACUGCCGUGGAUACUAUCAAUCUUGAAUACCGUGGAGGUCAGCGGAAUAUGUCAUGUAGCGGUGAAAUGCUUAGAGAUGACAUAGAACACCAAUUGCGAAGGCAGCUGGCUACACGAAUAUUGACACUGAUGCACGAAAGCGUGGGGAUCAAACAGG